rnacentral:rRNA from 1 species
UACGGGGGGAGCAAGCGUUGUUCGGAUUUACUGGGCGUAAAGGGCGCGUAGGCGGUCAGCACAAGUCAGUUGUGAAAUCUCCGGGCUUAACUCGGAAAGGUCAACUGAUACUGUGCGACUAGAGUGCGGAAGGGGCAACUGGAAUUCUCGGUGUAGCGGUGAAAUGCGUAGAUAUCGAGAGGAACACCUGCGGCGAAGGCGGCCCCCUGGUCGGAUACUGACGCUGAGACGCGAAAGCGUGGGGAGCAAACAGG